CUUGAUCGACCCGAGCCACAACGGUUGGUCGUCCCGCCGGUGCUGUCCGUACGUGGCGAGGAGUGCCUGGGCCUC
rnacentral:antisense_RNA from 1 species